rnacentral:rRNA from 1 species
AGCGAACGCUGGCGGCAGGCCUAACACAUGCAAGUCGAACGGAUCCUUCGGGAUUAGUGGCGGACGGGUGAGUAACACGUGGGAACGUGCCCUUUGGUUCGGAACAACUCAGGGAAACUUGAGCUGAUACCGGAUGUGCCCUUCGGGGGAAAGAUUUAUCGCCAUUGGAGCGGCCCGCGUCUGAUUAGCUAGUUGGUGAGGUAAAGGCUCACCAAGGCGACGAUCAGUAGCUGGUCUGGGAGGAUGAUCAGCCACAUUGGGACUGAGACACGGCCCAAACUCCUACGGGAGGCAGCAGUGGGGAAUCUUGCGCAAUGGGCGAAAGCCUGACGCAGCCAUGCCGCGUGAAUGAUGAAGGUCUUAGGAUUGUAAAAUUCUUUCACCGGGGACGAUAAUGACGGUACCCGGAGAAGAAGCCCCGGCUAACUUCGUGCCAGCCGCCGCGGUAAGAC